UAAUUCUUAUUUGAGCGGCAAUUUAGAAUUCUCUCAAUUCUCCUCCUUUGUUCUUCAAUUCAUAUACGCGCCUUUCAAUUCCCUUUAAUCGAUUAUGAAACGCUCAUGGUUUUAUAUGGAAAGUUGAAUAAAUAAUCAAUUACUUGAAGAUCUUUUACGAAAAAAACACGGACACAAAUUAGCGUUUCACAAAUCUCCUCAUUUUUAUCCGCCUCCGUCUCUCUCUCUCUCUCUUGCGGCGAUUCAGAAACACGAAGGCUAUCUUCACCAGAUUUGUUUGAGAUUUUGCUUUCUUCGGCUGCAAUUGAUGGUGGUUGUCUGGUUAAGUUGGCAUUCCGACCACUCGACAACCGUAAGAUCGACGGAGAAGAGGUGCAACUGACACUUUUAGAUCUACGGCCCCCAAACCCUAAUGCGUUCAAACAUUCCGGUCUGGUAUAAGAUCAACGGAGAAGAGGUGCAACUGAGCUUUUAGAUCUGCGGCUCACAAACCCUAAUACGGUCAAACUUUUAGAUCUGGUAUAAGCUUUUGAAGUUAACAGAUUUAAUUCUUACGAUUCUAUGGGAACAAUUGAUGAUUUUGUUGCAAAACAUAACUUAACGAAGAUGAAUCAUGUGGUUUGUUCGAAGCCUAGGCAAGUCAACCUCUUCAGUUCCACCUUGAACGGGCCUGUUAUGAAUUAAAGAUGACAAAUGUGGUUUGUUUAAUUGAUGUGGGUGGACAUUACGGUAAGCUUAUAGGUAUGCUUACUAAGAAAGAUGCUGCUACAAUUGGUGUCAUCCUGGGAAUCGAAUGUAUUCACAAUAAGUUUUCCAGAAGACUUCAUUAAGGGCCUGAUUCUAUCUGUUCAUUCUUUGCUUCCACUUGAGCCUCUUUUAGACGGGUGUGAAAAGAGGAUUGUAGUUUAUCAGCAACUUCUUCUGUUGUAUCUUCUCUACCUGAGUCUAUCAGAAGCUAAAUGGGAAUGGGGAUAGUUGAAACAAAAAGUAGGGUAUAUCCCAAACGGGUCAAAAAUAUGAAACUAUGAGGCAGAGCGGCUGGGAUCAUAGUACGCUCCAGUACACAGAACGAAAACAGAGUCCCAAAGACUACCCUAAGGUAUUUGAUGCCAUUCAUUGUGCACGUUGCAGAGUCGCCACGUUGAAGGUUAUAUUUUCAAAUAGUUUGUUUUGGUGAAUUAAAAUUAAAAAAAUGAUUUAAUUAUGAACAGAAAAUCGUUUAAAGAUGUAAUACGUAUGUUUUCAAGUGGAAAACUUUUGUUGGAGCUUAACUGUCUUUUAAGACCUGGUGGUUAUUUUGUUUGGUCUGCUACCCCCGUUUACAAAAAGUUGGCUGAAGAUAUGGAGAUGUGGGAAGGUUCUAGGUCUUGAAACUGAAAUCAGAAUGUUGAAAUCGCUAGAUCUUCAGUCACUGGCUAGGCUUCGAUGGGUGAGGUUGUGAUUCACUCGGAUUAAGAUGCAGAUUGGAGCAUGGCACCUGACCAGAGUGUCGUUUAGUGUUGCUAGGACUGGUGAAAACGCGAUACCAUCACCAGCAGAUUUACGUACAUCUGCCAAUUUCUUGGCUUCACAAUAUUCAUUUUGUUUUAACAAUUGACUAACACCAGCCAGGCUCUCCGAAGUCGGAAAGCUUACAUCCGAACGUGUCUGCGGCUGUAAAUGGUGUCGCUCUUGUUGGAACCCUAUCUGACCAAUUGUUCUUCGGGUGGCUCGGUGAUAAACUGGGUAAGCAGAAGGUUUACGGCAUCCGACCAAUCAUCUUUUACUUUCAUUCUUGAUGAUCCUACUGGCAACAUCUUUUACUCUUUCCUGUCACACCGUUGCAUUUGAUAAGACUAGGACAUUGAGGACAGGGGAGUUUAUGUGCAAAGCGAUUGAGCCCAUACACGGACAUGAAGCUACCGCUUCUUGUUGCGUUACGACGUGUGAGAAAGAAGCUCUUGCUGUUGCUUCUGCUAUGGAAAAAGGCACCACCCACCCGAUCGGAAGGGUAAUAUGUGAUCUUUAGUCUUCUAAUGGUAUACACCCUUCCUUUACCAGAGGACCAACAAGUUAUGGAGCUCUAUUUGUGUUGCGAUUUCUUUAUAGAAAAUAUGAUUUCAAGUCAGAUGAGGAGAGCCAAAUUGCGUACUUAACUUGAGCGAGCCAAUGAGUGAGUUGCCAUAAUUCUCAAAAUUAUGCUACAGAUGCAGUGAGAGAAGCCUUUUUUAUGCAAGAUUCGUUCGAAGAUGACAAGUCAAAGAUUCUUAUGAUAUUAUGUGCAAGCCCGGAUCCAAAGGAAAUGCAUAAGACAAUAUCGACAUUGGAAUACGGUGCAAAAGCCAAAUGCAUCGUGCGUGGGCCUCAUACGCCAAUUAAGGGAGACGAUUCGUCUUCGUCAGAUGUGAUGUUGGGUUCGAGCUCCACGACUACUUAGUUCAGCUGAUUGGCCAAGGCUUAAUGUCCUUUUUGAUAAAAGUUUUCAUCAUUUGCUUUAGACGAAGGAAGAGAGGGUUCAAAAUUUGUAUCUUACCAAGUUUUAUCUGAGUUUCAUGGUAGAGAUAGAAUGGACGUAUAUCAUUGAAGUAUAUUAUUUGAGAACGAGAUUGGAUCGAAGUAUAUGGAUAUGUACAAAUUUAUGCUCCCUAAUAUCAUUUAUGACAAUAACGUUGUAAAUAAACCUACUUUCGAUGUUUUGAUGAAAAUUUGUUACGGUUUAAUAAAUCUAACUCUUUAUA